GACGAACGCUGGCGGCGUGCUUAACACAUGCAAGUCGAACGAGAAAGCCCUUCGGGUGGAGUACAGUGGCGAACGGGUGAGUAACACGUGGGCAACCUGCCCCAACGGAGCGGGACAACCCGGGGAAACUCGGGCGUAAUACCGCAUGAUUCGCACAGUCUCAAGUCUGUGCGGCAAAUGGUAGCUUCGGCCUCCGCCUUGGGAUGGGCCCGCGGCGCAUUAGCUUGUUGGUGGGGUAACGG
rnacentral:rRNA from 1 species